GAAGGAAGGCUCCUAGGUACCAGGACCAGACCACAGCCCCUCAGAAGGAGCCCUGCCACGGAGCGCAGGUAUGGCAAAAGAAAUAAAGGAAUGAGUUUGGAAUAGACGCAAGGUGCUACAGCAAUAAGAAGGCAGCAUGGUGGAGCAGGGGCGCACCUGGAGACACUGAGUCUGAGCUUGUGUCCCAGUCUCAUCACUUCCCAGCCGCGAUAACUUGGACCAAUAACUGAGCUUAGCUGCACCUCACUUUCCUCAGUGGUGUCCUUUGCCCUGGGGUCUUCUCUGGAGCCCGCACAGUGGACUGAAUGCAGGAAGAGAAGCUGGCAUAUUACUGAGGGAAGAUAAACUGAAAGCUGCUGCUGCUGUUGUCAGGAAUAUAGAGCACCACCUGACCAGGACAGCAGAUCUACUGCUUGACACACACUGUGAAAGGAGGUUACUGAGUAGGGACUAGGGAAGGAAGACGUGAUGCCGACAUGCAGUAUCAGACCGAGACAGACAGGCUUCAGAAAGAGCCCAGGAAAGGUGCCAU
rnacentral:lncRNA from 1 species